rnacentral:rRNA from 1 species
GGCUAUUAGAAGUUGUUAAUAGUCUGGCCUGCUCACUGAUAAUUUGUAUUAAAGAGCCGCGGUAAUUUGACCGUGCAAAGGUAGCAUAAUCAUUAGUUCUUUAAUUGGGAACUCGUAUGAAUGGUCGGACAAGAGAAAAACUGUCUCUGAUAUUUAAAUCGAAAUUGACUUUUAAGUGAAAAGGCUUAAAUAUUUCAGGGGGACGAUAAGACCCUAUAAAACUUUAUAUAUUAAUUUCAAUUUGAUUUAAUUGAACUAAUAAAAAUUUAUUUGAAUAAAUAUAUUUAGUUGGGGCGACUAAGGUAUAAUUACUAGUAACUGAUUAAAAAUCAAACAGCAGUGACUGAGUAGACGAUAAUUGAUCCUUUUUAAAGAUUAAAAGAUUAAGUUACUUUAGGGAUAACAGCGUAAUUUUUUCUGAGAGUUCAUAUCGAAGAAAAAGUUUGCGACCUCGAUGUUGAAUUAAAAUGUCUUUACGGUGCAGCAGCUGUAAAAGAAAGUCUGUUCGACUUUUAAAAUUUU